AUUUCUUACUUUCUUCAUCCCAUAAUUUCCAUUCUCUACUUAAGGCAUUAUUCUCUCUCACUAUUUGUAAAUUUCACUUGUAAUUUUUGGAGUGAAAUAUAUUUGGUAGUGCCCGAGGACGUAGGCAAAAUUUGCUGAACCUCGUUAAAAUUUUAGUGUUCUUUAUUAUUUAUUUUGUAUAUUUUGUGAAUGUGAUUGUAGUGAUUUAUUGUGCUAUUAAAUUACGAUAGAGGGAUAUUCUGGCUAGGAAAGACUUGGUAUUUAAGUGAUCUUCGUGAUCUACCUCUUUUUUCUUGGGAAUUGAACUUAGUGUGAUUUUUCAGUACAAUAUUUUUACUCUUUCACACGCUUUCGCGCAAAAAUUGGUAUCAGAGCCAGAUUCGUACUUGGGGAAUACGACCAUUGAUGGCACUAUUCAUGUAUAUGGCACUAUUCACAUAUAUGGUACUAUUUACGUAUACAGUACUGUUCACGUAUACAGUAGUUGGGAUUGAGGAGAAAAAUGGCAGCAGCAUCGUCAUCAGCAAGGACUACUAUGACAAAUGAAAAAUUUGAAGUAGAGAAAUUUGACGGUACCAAUAAUUUUGGUAUGUGGCAAUGUGAGAUCUUAGAUGUCUUAUGUCAACAAGAGCUAGAUAUAGCCCUUGAAGAAAAACCUAACAAGAUGGAUGACAAGGAGUGGGCCAAGAUCAAUAGACAGGCGUGUGGUACAAUCCGCCUAUGUUUGGCCAAAGAGCAGAAGUACUCUAUCAUGAGGGAGACAUCAGCGAAGAAGUUAUGGGAUACACUGGAAGAAAAGUUUCUAACGAAAAAUCUUGAAAAUAGGCUUUAUAUGAAAAAGAAACUUUAUCGAUUCACGUAUGCACCUGGUAUGUCGAUGAAUGACCAUGUGAACUAAUUCAAUAAAAUUUUAGCAAACUUUUUAAAUUUGGAUGAGAAAUUUGAAGAUGAAGACAAGGCAUUAUUGUUGUUGAAUUCCUUUCCUGAUGAAUACGAUCAUCUUACCACCACAUUACUUCAUGGGAAGGACACGAUCACAUUUGAUGCAGUCUGUAGUGCGUUGUAUAGAUCUGAGACUCGAAAGAAAGAUAAAAGAGAUCACAGAGAUACAACUGCAGAAGUCUUAACAGUAAGAGGUCGUUCACAUAGUAGCAAAUCUGGUAGAAGGGGAAAGUCCAAAGGGAGACCCGCCAAAGAUGAAUGUGCCUUUUACCGUGAAAAAAGGCAUUGGAAAAAGAAUUGUCCUAAGCUACAAAAGGGCAAGGCUAUUUCUAAUGCAUGUGUAGCGGAGCAUGAUGAGGCGUCAGACUUUAGCUUGGUUGGCAUGGCAAUGGCAUGUCAAACGGAUGAGUGGAUUUUGGAUUCAGGAUGUACUUACCAUAAAUGUCCUAAUAAGGACUGGUUUCCUAGUCUUAAAGAGCUAGAAGGUGGAAUUGUUCUUAUGGGCAAUGAUAGUGCUUGUAAGACAAUGGGAGUGGGUACAGUCCAAUUGAAGAAUCACGACGGCUCAAUCCAAGUCUUGACAGAUAUUCGCUACGUACCUAGCCUGAAGAAAAAUCUCAUCUCAUUAGGGGCCCUAGAAUCUAAAGGGCUCACAAUCACUUUGAGAGAUGGAUUACUAAAAGUAGUAGCUGGGCAAUUGACGGUGAUGAAAGGCACAAGAAGAAAUAACUUGUACUUUUUAAAUGGAAGUACAAUUAUUGGAUCAACAUCAACAGUUUUUACAAAAGACGUUCACAGUGAUGUGUGGGGACCUACCAAAGUGGCUUCUUUGGGAGGUAUGCACUAUUUUGUUACUUUUGUUGAUGAUUAUUCAAGAAAAGUAUGGGUGUAUCUAAUGAAAAGAAAAAGUGAAGUUUUGGAUGCAUUUUUGAAAUGGAAAAAGAUGGUGGAGACUCAGACUGGUCGAAAGGUCAAACGACUUCGAUCAGAUAAUGGCACUGAGUACAAAAAUGAUCCAUUUCUACAAGUAUGUCAAGAUGAGGGCAUUGUGUGACACUUCACUGUUCGGGAUACACCACAGCAGAAUGGGGUGGCAGAACGCAUGAAUCGAACUAUACUGGAGAAAGUUCGAUGUAUGUUGUCCAAUGCUGGAUUGGGCAAGGAAUUUUGGGCUGAGGCAGUUACAUAUGCGUGCCAUCUAAUUAAAUGUUUGCCAUCAGCUGCAAUAAAUGAAAAAAACUCCUAUAGAGAUGUGGACUGGUAAAUCUGCUACUGAUUAUGAUUCUUUACAUGUAUUUGGUUCCACUGCAUAUUAUCAUGUAAAAGAAUCUAAGUUAGACCCAAGAGCAAAGAAAGCAUUAUUCUUGGUAUAACUGAUGGAGUAAAAGGAUACCGUCUUUGGUGUCCUGAUACAAGGAAGAUUGUUUUCAGUAGAGAUGUCACUUUUGAUGAAUCAACCAUGUUAAAGUACAAGGAUUCACAAAAGGAUGACAAAACCAGUAGUACUUUGCAGUAGGUAGAGCUUGAAAAGGUUAACGAUGAUCCAGCUAAUAUUGAAGAGACAAAUGAUGAAGAGGUUCCUACCCAAGAACCUCUACAGCAACAAGGUUCAAUUGCAUAUAGGAGGCCAAGAAAAGAGAUUCGUAAGCCUGCUCACUUUGAUGAUAUAGUGGCCUAUGCACUUCCAAUUGCAGAUGAUGAUAUUCCUUCUACUUACACAGAAGCAAUAAGUAACCUUGAUGGUGUAAAGUGGAAGCAAGCAAUGAAUGAAGAAAUGCAGUCUCUUCAUAAAAAUAGGACCUGGGAGUUGGUGACACUACCCAAGGGAAAGAAGGCAAUUGGAUGCAAAUGGGUAUAUGCAAAGAAGGAAGGAUUCCUGGUAAAAAUGAAAUUCGAUACAAGGCUAGAUUGGUAGCAAAGGGUUACGCUCAGAAAGAAUGAAUAGACUAUAAUGAAGUGUUUUCUCCAGUUGUGAAGCAUUCAUCUAUACGGAUUUUGCUAGCCUUGGUUGCGUAAUAUGAUCUCGAACUAGUUCAACUUGAUGUGAAGACUGCGUUUUUACACGGUAAUUUGGAAGAGGAAAUCUAUAUGACUCAGCCAGAUGGAUUCAAUGUUGCUGGAAAAGAAAAUUGGGUUUGCAAACUGACAAAGUCGCUUAAUGGAUUGAAGCAAUCUCCGAGGCAGUGGUACAAGCGAUUUGAUCAGUUCAUGAAAGGGCAAAGGUACACAAGAAGUAAAUUUGAUCAUUGCGUGUAUUUUCAGAAGCUACAAGAAGGAACUUUCAUAUACUUGCUCUUAUAUGUUGAUGAUAUUCUAAUAGCAUCUAAGAGCAAAAUUGAGAUUGAAAGAUUGAAGACUCAACUCAAUCUCGAAUUUGAGAUGAAAGAUCUAGGAGAAGCUAAAAAGAUUCUCGGCAUGGAAAUAUGGAGAGAUAGAGCUCAUGAUAGAGUUAGCUUGUCUCAGAAGCAUUAUUUGAAAAAGGUACUAUAGCAGUUUGGCAUGAACGAACAGACAAAACCUGUAAGUACCCCGUUGGCUUCUCAUUUCAAGCUUUCUGCACAACUAUCUCCUUCGACGAAUACAGAACGAGAAUACAUGUUGCAAGUUUCGUAUUCUAAUGCAGUGGGUAGCUUGAUGUAUGCAAUGGUGUGUACAAGACCCGACAUUUCACAGGCAGUUAGUAUAGUGAGCAGGUAUAUGCAUAAUCCUGGAAAAGGACAUUGGCAAGCUGUGAAAUGGAUUCUACGGUAUAUUCAGAAAAUCGGGGAUGUUGGAUUACUGUUUAAGCAGGAUAAUACACUUGGUAAAGGUGUUAUUGGGUACGUUGAUUCUGACUAUGCCGGUGAUUUGGACAAGCGAAGAUCAACCAUCGGUUAUGUGUUUACACUUGCUGGAGGACCAAUAAGUUGGAAGUCUACACUACAGUCUACAGUUGCGUUGUCAACCACAGAAGCCGAGUACAUGGCUGUAACAGAGGCUGUAAAGGAGGCUAUUUGGUUACAAGGUAUGACUAAAACCUUGGGAUUGGUCCAGGAGCAUAUUAACGUGUAUUGUGAUAGUCAAAGUGCUAUUCAUUUAGCAAAGAAUCAAGUUUAUCACGCACGUACAAAGCAUAUUGACGUGCGUUUCCACUUUGCGCGGGAAAUUAUUGAUGAGGGGAAAAUUUAUCUUCAGAAGAUCAAGACUGCAGAUAAUCCCGCAGAUAUGAUUACCAAGGUGGUAACAGUAACCAAGUUUGAACAUUGUUUGAACUUGAUUAAUAUCUUGCAAGUUUAAUAGUUGAAGAAGGCACUAUCAAGUAUUGUUGUCAAAGGCAGAAAGAAUUGUGUGAAGAUAAGAUUAUCCUAAUCAAAUCUUCAAUGUGGAGAUUAUUGGAACCCACCCAUUGUUUGAAAAGUCAAAAAGGGUGGGCACCGAAAGUAGAAAGUAAGAUUGGUUGGCAAGUUGGGUUAAAAGUUAGCAUGGGAUAAUUGCAAUUUUGGUCCCUAAUUGUAUAGGGACAUUGCAAGUUGAUCCUUAAACCUCAACUAUAAACAGGCCUAACCAUUUCUUACUUUCUUCAUCCCAUAAUUGCCAUUCUCUACUUAAGGCAUUAUUCUCUCUCACUAUUUUUAAAUUUCACUUGUAAUUUUUGGAGUGAAAUAUAUUUGGUAGUGCCCGAGGACGUAGGCAAAAUUUGCUGAACCUCGUUAAAAUUCUGGUGUUCUUUAUUAUUUAUUUUGCAUAUUUUGUGAAUGUGAUUGUAGUGAUUUAUUGUGCUAUUAAAUUACGAUAGAGGGAUAUUCUGGCUAAGAAAGACUUGGUAUUUAAGUGAUCUUCGUGAUCUACCUCUCUUUCCUGGGAAUUGAACUUAGUGUGAUUUUUC
rnacentral:lncRNA from 1 species